rnacentral:rRNA from 1 species
AACGAACGCUGGCGGCAUGCCUAACACAUGCAAGUCGAACGAGACCUUCGGGUCUAGUGGCGCACGGGUGCGUCACGCGUGGGAACCUGCCCUUAGGUUCGGAAUAACUCCCCGAAAGGGGUGCUAAUACCGGAUAAUGUCUUCGGACCAAAGAUUUAUCGCCUUUGGAUGGGCCCGCGUUGGAUUAGCUAGUUGGUAGGGUAAAAGCCUACCACGGCGACGAUCCAUAGCUGGUCAGAGAGGAUGAUCAGCCACACUGGGACUGAGACACGGCCCAGACUCCUACGGGAGGCAGCAGUGGGGAAUAUUGGACAAUGGGCGGAAGCCUGAUCCAGCAAUGCCGCGUGAGUGAUGAAGGCCGUAGGGUUGUAAAGCUCGUUUACCCGGGAUGAUAAUGACAGUACCGGGAGAAUAAGCACCGGCUAACUCCGUG